UGGUACCUGCUACCUCUUAACCAGUACAGGUUUUAGAGUCAUGUUUCAGGUGACUCUGCCUAACAAAGUUUAAGCAGAUUGUUCAUUCUUUGUGUUAUCACUGGAAAUAUAUCACUGACAGUCUGGCAAUUACCGCCUGUUACUUGAGUUGGUUUUAUCAUAUGGUGAACUCACAUAAAGGGGAUGUCUUGUCUUCCUUGAGACUUCUGCAGCGUGAUGGUGACCAGAGAAUCAACUUAUCAAAAACAGUUUAUCAUUCAGACUGUUGAUAUGUGUCAUUAUGUACUAUGAUAGCAUCAGAGGUGGAGU